rnacentral:rRNA from 1 species
UACGGGGGGAGCAAACGUUGUUCGGAAUCACUGGGCGUAAAGGGCGUGUAGGCGGCUGGAUAAGUGGGAUGUUAAAUCCCCCGGCUCAACCGGGGACCUGCAUCUCAUACUGUUCAGCUCGAGCACAUCAGAGGAGACUGGAAUUCCCGGUGUAGCGGUGAAAAUGCGUAGAGAUCGGGAGGAACACCCGUGGCGAAGGCGGCCUGCUGGGCCCGAUCC